AUGAACGCUGGCGGCGUGCCUAAUACAUGCAAGUCGAGCGAACAGACGAGGAGCUUGCUCCUCUGACGUUAGCGGCGGACGGGUGAGUAACACGUGGAUAACCUACCUAUAAGACUGGGAUAACUUCGGGAAACCGGAGCUAAUACCGGAUAAGAUAUUGAACCGCAUGGUUCAAUAGUGAAAGACGGUUUUGCUGUCACUUAUAGAUGGAUCCGCGCCGCAUUAGCUAGUUGGUAAGGUAACGGCUUACCAAGGCAACGAUGCGUAGCCGACCUGAGAGGGUGAUCGGCCACACUGGAACUGAGACACGGUCCAGACUCCUACGGGAGGCAGCAGUAGGGAAUCUUCCGCAAUGGGCGAAAGCCUGACGGAGCAACGCCGCGUGAGUGAUGAAGGUCUUCGGAUCGUAAAACUCUGUUAUUAGGGAAGAACAAAUGUGUAAGUAACUAUGCACGUCUUGACGGUACCUAAUCAGAAAGCCACGGCUAACUACGUG
rnacentral:rRNA from 1 species